AACAACAAAAAGUAUUACAUUGAUAUUAUUGAAACGAGGCCUUCAAAUGCAAUAAGUAUCAUUGAGACAGACUGCGAGGUGGACUUUGCACCUCCACUGGAUUACAAGGAACCUGAAAAACCUGCUCUGCCUAUUACUCAAAGCAAGGCAACUUCUCAAGUUGAAGAGGAUCCUGCUGAGACUGAACCAAAAUUUAGUCCUUUUACUGGAGUAGGGAGACGCUUG
rnacentral:misc_RNA from 1 species